rnacentral:rRNA from 1 species
AUUCAACGGAGAGUUUGAUCCUGGCUCAGGACGAACGCUGGCGGCGUGCUUAACACAUGCAAGUCGAGCGGUAAGGCCCUUCGGGGUACACGAGCG